rnacentral:lncRNA from 1 species
UAGGCUCCUCUUUGCUUGCUACCUUGCCUUACUGCUCCCUCUGCUAGCCCCCCAAACCUGCAACUGCGAGGAUACCACUCUCUGUGCCCCUUCUUCAUGUGGCAAUCAUACUAUUAGCUACCCCUUUAGCCUAAACAGUAGUGAUCCAUUAAACUGUGGAAACCCUCUCUAUACCCUCCACUGCGAGAAAAACACCUCCACAUUUUUGCAUUUAGACUCACGAAAAUACUACGUGCAGGCAAUCAACUACAACAACUUGACAAUCCGAGUGGUUGAUGCUGGUGUUACACAAAAUGAUUGCUCUUCUCUUCCUCAUUUUUCUUUAGCAUUUGAUAGCCUAGGCAAUUCCAGAAGGGCAUUUAAUACAUUUACUUUAACAUUUGAUAGCUUAGAUUAUAUGAGAUUUCCAUAUACAUGGUUUCAAUACAAAAGGACAGGGCCGAAAUGGUUUCCCAAAUACAAGCCUCUCCCGUUAUCGCAGAAGAUGAUUUUUAUAAACUGUGCAAAUCCAGUGAAUUCUCCGCUGUACAUAGAAACCGGUACUUGCCUUAAUGGAGUAUUGUUUUGGAGUGUCCAAAGUUGUUUUUCAAAAUAGUUUUUUUUAGAAAAUACAUUAAAAUAAUAUUUUUUAUUUUUAAAAUAUUAUUUUUAAUAUCAAUAUAUUAAAAUAUCUAAACAUAUAAAAAAAAAUUAAUUUAAAACAAAAAAAAAUAAAAUUUUUCAAAAACAUGGCACCACAACCCAAGACACCAACUAAGAGUCCUAAAAUAGGAUCAUCAUAAAGUUUGAGAAAUACAAUUUAAGAACUAAUCUAGCAAGCAAAUACAGUUUCAUCCCCAUAUUUUCAAUCAAAUGCAUGUUAAUCUUUUAUUUGUGUAAUAAGCCGCGAAUUACUCGGAAUCCACUGUAGGCAGCAGCUCAUAGAUCACAGCCUUGAAAGCAAUGAUGACCUCAAAAUAUAUGAUUACUCUGUUUCUGAGAUGGCUGCCAGCUCUUGAUGAAGAUGCCUCCUUAGCAUACCUGUAUUCGUUCUCUUUGGAGCUGUGGAGCUAAGAGGAUUAGGAGGUGUACUUAACCUGUCUCCUUUCCCUUCCAGCAUCUGGACAACGAUUUUCAUGGAAGGACGGUCCACUGGGUUCCACUGGAUGCACCACAGUCCCACAAUGGCUAGCUUCUUCGCAAUUUCAGCAUCCCCUUCUUCCUCGAUGUGGAACCGCAGGUCUUCUCCUUCUUCUAUGAGAUUAUAAAUCCAUUCUGGGAAGUAUACUUGAUCACCAUUUUCUGCUGCUUCAUCAACAUUUUUCCUUCCACCAACCAUUUCUAACACCAACAUUCCAAAACUGUACACGUCUGCCUUGUAGGAGACAUUCCCAAAGUUUCUUGAGAACACUUCAGGUGCUAUGUAGCCGACGGUUCCCAGAGCUGUUGUCAUGGAAAUAGCACUUUUAUACUUGGAACACAACUUAGCCAGACCGAAAUCUGCAAUCUUGGGAUUGAAGUCAUUGUCCAGCAGGAUAUUAUGCGGUUUGAUGUCAAAGUGGAGGAUUGUUUGGUCACAACCCUGGUGAAGAUAUUCAAUCCCUUUGGCUACUCCGAGGGCAAUAUGAUGCAUCCUUUCCCAGCCAAGGAAAACAUUCUUGGCGUUUGCUGCAGAUAUGAACUUCUGCAGCGAAUCGUUUGGCAAAUACUCGAAAACCAGAGCUCGUCUAAAUCCAUCAGCACAGAAGCCAAUCAAGCGGACUACAUUGACAUGGUGAAUCCUAGCCAUUGUUCCCAUCUCGUUGACGAAUUCCUCUCCUUUUUCUGAUGAAUUGCUUAGAACCUUAACAGCCACCGGAAUCUCACUGGUUAGCUUUCCUUUGAACACAGUUCCAUAAGCUCCUUGCCCCAAUUCAUCCCUGAAUUGAUUUGUCAUCUUUUUGAGAUCAGCAUGGGAGUAUCUUGUGGGGUUCAUAGCUCUGUAAUCAUCCAAAAACCUUUCAACCUUGGCCUGAUAUUCCUCUUCUGAUUUUCUGAAGCUAUAGAUUUGGUAGACUGCAAUCACCAAAACCCCGAAAAGGAUGGAUCCUGUGGUUACACCUGCAUAUAUAAACAAGCCUUUUGAGUCAAGUAACUGAUCUUUUUUUUUUGGAAGCUAAGAGUUGGAGUAAAUUUGAGAAAAACUAACCUACAGUCAGUCGCUUUUUCCGUGCACCUGUAGAAGAUAAGAACCCCUGUUAAGUUCUAAUUUUCUGAAAGUUUCUAAAGUCAUGAUAAUAUCCUCUAUUUGUAGAAUCUAGAACGCUAAAUGCACAGGAAAACCACAUGUCAGUCAACUCACUAGUAGAUAGGACUUAGGUGUUCAAGGACACUUGCAAUACAUUAAUCAAAGUAGAGAUGUAGACUUAGUGAAGCAAGGAAUCAUAGAAAAUCAAGAUGCCAUGAACACAGAACAAUGAAAAGAAGACUUAAAGCUAAAGAUACCUUUUUCUGGUCUGGGCAAGCCAUAGCAUUCAGUUUCAAGCUCAGUGCUGCUAUUUUCCCUCAAUCCACAUAGUUUUCCUGUUGCUUCACAAGUUCCACAAUUGGGAUAGGACCACGACAGACGAAUAUCUUGUGGAACAGGUAGGUCGUACAUCUUGGUACAAGAUAGUAAUAACUCGUUGUCAUCAAUAGAUUGUUCUGAAUCAAUGGCAAGAACGUCAUAGUGGAGAGUACUUAUUAGACAAGCGAUCCUAGACAGAUAUCUUGCUUUAUUUAAAGAACAAUUGAAGGUAGUAAAAUCGACCUUGGAAAUCUUAAACUGUAUGUGAAACACAGACGAAUUGAAGUUGGAGUGUUGGCUUAGAAGGCAAACUUGGGGAUCUCUUGCAUAAAUAACUUGAUUUUUGUAGUCGAUCUUUUCUAUGUGGAGCUUCACUGCAGCUGGCAGCUCGAGCACUAUAUCGCCCAUCUCAUUACAAGACAGAUCAAAACCAGAAUAGCCACACUGUUCUGGCUGCCUAUCCUUGAUCCAGAAUGGAAAUCGGAUGUCGUGGUUCCCACAAGAUCCUGUGCAAUUUAGACUCACUCCAAGUUCUGCAAUGAACAUGAAAUAGAACAAGCAUAUAGCCUUUUUUGUUGAACCUCUCAUCAUUGCCUCCUAUGGUGAUAGAGUUUCGACCUAACAGUAUCUAGAUAUUGCAGAAACAAUAGUAAACUCAGAUGGGAGCAGCAAUGGUAACUCUGAUACCUUCUUUUUAUGACACCUGAAGGGUAACUCUGAUACCUUCGUUUUACUUGCCUAGAUUAAGUACUCAGAAUUGACCUCUCUUGCGUUCAAUGUAGUUCCAUGUCCACAAGGAUUAUUGCACCCUCACUUUCACAAAUUAUUGCCAAGAAGGUUAUCAUGUUAUCUAUUACAUGUUGACGUUUGUGGUGUUGAGAGUUGAUGGAUUUGUGGUUUAUAUCAAAGUAAUCUUUGAUAUUUCAAAGGAUGACUUGGUAAGUUUAAUAUACUGAAGAAACUCGUACAGACUCGCACUACCUUGUACUUAAUUUUUAUCAAAUAAAUAGGAAUGGUGAGAUUCGAAUUAUUGCUAAGAAGUUUAUCAUAUUGUCUAUAUGUUGAUGCUUGUGGUGUUGAGAGUUGAUGGAUUUGUGGUUUAUAUCAAAGUAAUCUUUGACAUUUCAAAGGAUCACUUGGUAAGUUUAAUAGGCUGAAGAAACUCUCGCAUUAGAAAACUAGCUUUAAGGUGUGGUGAGAUAUUUAGAAAUGAUUUAUAUUAUUUUUUAAUAUAUAUGUUAAAUUAAAAGUUUUUUGGAUUUAAAACUUGUACAGACUCGUAUUACCUUAUACUUAAUUUUUAUCAAAUAAAUAAGGAUGAUGAGAUUCAAAUUAUUGCCAAGAAGGUUAUCAUGUUCUCAAUUAUAUGUUGACGCUUGUGGUGUUGAGAGUUGAUGGAUUUGUGGUUUAUAUCAAAGUAUUAUUUGCUUUAUUAUUGUCACUUGGACAUUUUAAAGGAUGAGUUGGUCAUUUUAAUACGCUGAUGAAACAUUCACAAGAAACAAUUUAAUUUAAAAAGUUAAUCUGUUAUAUAAAUUUUUAAUAUAUAAUUUAUAUUAUUUUUUAAUAUGCAUGUGAAAGCUUUUUCAAUUUAAAAUUUAAACAGAUUUACACUAUUUUACGCUUAAUUUUUAUUAAAUAAAUAAAAAUGAUAAGAUUUAAAUUUAUAACCUCUUGAUCAUCAAGAGUUUGAUAUUAUAUUAAAAACUCAACUCAACUAUAAAAUUUAAGCUGUUAGGUUAAGUUUUAAAAUAUAAUUUAUAUUAUUAUUUAAUAUUACUGCUGUAACUGUUGUCUUUUAAAGACUUGAUAUCGUUUAUGGACUACACCCUCUUUCUCCACCCAUGGCUAGGCUCCUCUUUGCUGGCUCCAUAGCCUUACUGCUCCUGCUGCUAGUCUUCCAAAACAGCAACUGCAAGGAUACCAAUCUCUGUGCCCCUUCUUCAUGUGGAAAUCAUACUAUUAGCUACCCCUUUAGCCUAAACAGUGAUCCAUUAAACUGUGGAAACGCUCUCUAUACCCUCCAUUGCGAGAAAAAUACCUCCACAGUUUUGUAUUUAGACUCACGAAAAUACUACGUGCAGGCAAUCAACUACAACAACUUGACAAUCCGAGUGGUGGAUCCUGGUGUUAAAGAAAAUGAUUGCUCUUCUCUUCCUGAUUUUUCUUUAACAUAUGCAAGAUUAGGUAAUUCCAGAAGUGCAAAUACUUUUUCUACUUCAACAAAAGCAGGCUUAGAUUAUAUCAGAUUUCCAUAUACAUGGUUUCAAUACAAAGAGACAAGGCGGAAAUGGAUUCCCGAAUACAAGCCUCUCCCGUUAUCGCAGAUGAUGAUUUUUAUAAACUGUGCAAAUCCAGUGAAUUCUCCUCUGUACGUAGAAACCGGUACUUGCCUUAAUGGAGAAAAAUCUUCCAAUGUUUCACUCUUGAGGCGUUCUUAUGUGAACGUUGGUGGGAUGAAGGCUUCGGAUCUGAUGGAACUGUGCAGCUUAGAGAGGAUGACGUUGUUGCCAGUCAAGGAUUACAAGAACAUGCCCUAUAAGGAAAUCCACAGUCAGCUGGCAUAUGGGUUUGAGCUUUCAUGGCACAAUAGCAGGUGUGGAAGUUGUGCAUAUGGAUGCUACAUCGAUGAUUCGAACCGUAAACACUGCGUAGGUGGGCAAAUUUGAGUAACAAACUGUUCGUUUUUCUAUCUUCAACUUCUCUUUGCAUGAUUUCCCCAUUUCUGAAGCAUAUUGUAGUGCUGAGUAUCGUACGGUCAGCUCAAUCAAGCAAUCAUAGGCUGCAGAUGGUCAUAUCAAUUCGUGGUUUUCUUUUAUUCGACGAUAAAUGAUGUUUUUAUUCCAAUUUCUUUCAUCUUGUAGUAACCUCCGUUAUAUAGUUUCUCAAAUCACAAAUCUAAUCUUUGUAACUGAUCUCUUGGCCCAACAGGAGAUUCUUGGCGCUGGAUAAUCCUAGGUGAGGAUUCUAUCUCCCCACUUCUUCAUGCUUAAUUCUUAAUAAUAUCUCUAAUUAUUUGUUUACCUUCUCUGCAGCCGUGCUGGCGAAUGGAUCCGUGUUCAUUGGUAAGAACUCCCCUUAUUGAUUUUUUUUUUUUUGAAGUUAUGAUAUUGGAUCAUAUUUUAUUAGCUGAUACAAAAUGAUAAUUCCUAAAUGUCUACUCAUGCCAAGUUCUUCCUUAGCAGCACUCUUGGGGUUGCCUAAUGUCUGAGACAUACCUUUGGGUUAAGAGUAUGCUCUUAUGAAACUUGAUUGAACCUGAGUCGUCCAGUUUUGGUCUAGAUUUUAUAUGAUUUUUCAACUCGGAAAAAUAAUCCUAACGCCUAACCUAACACAUGCUGAGUAUUUAUCAAUCUCUGAUAUAUAUUAAUAAGAAAGAAUAACAAUUCCUCUCUAAUUUUUUUUCCUCUCAAAUUUCACACACAGCAAUACUUCAGGGGGCAAAAUUUAUCUUUGGGAGUCCGUUUGUGAUUGCAUUCUUGAUCUAUAAAUGGCGACGACGACAUCUAUCAGCAUAUGACACAAUUGAGGAAUUCCUACAGACUCAUAACAAUCUUAUGCCAGUCGUAAGGUAUUCUUAUUCCGCGAUUAAGAAGAUGACCAGAGGUUUCAAGGAAGAGUUGGGCAAAGGAGGUUUUGGUUGCGUGUACAAGGGAAAGCUUCGCAGUGGACGUUCUGCUGCGAUAAAAUUGCUGGGCAAAUCCAAGGCUAAUGGACAAGAUUUCAUCAAUGAAGUCGCUACCAUUGGAAGGAUUCGCCACACCAAUGUAGUUCAACUAGUUGGUUUUUGUGCUGAGGGAUCAAAGCGCGCUCUUGUAUAUGAUUUCAUGCCCAAUGGAUCUCUCAAUAAUUUCAUUUUUUCUCAAGAAAGAUCUGUCUCUUUAAGCUGGGAAAAACUGCAUGAGAUUUCCCUUGGAGUGGCUCAUGGCAUCCAAUAUCUACAUCGAGGUUGUGAGAUGCAGAUCCUACAUUUUGACAUCAAGCCUCACAACAUUCUUCUCGAUGAACAUUUCACUCCAAAAAUUUCUGACUUUGGACUUGCUAGGUUGUGCCCAGCAAAUGAGAGUCUUAAAUCUCUCACAGUGGCAAGGGGAACGAUAGGUUACAUGGCGCCAGAACUGUUCUACAAGAACAUCGGGCGCUUGUCAUACAAAGCUGAUGUUUAUAGCUUUGGAAUGUUGCUGUUGGAAAUGGCAGGCAGAAGAAAAAAUUUGAAUCCAUUGGCUGAAAGGUUGAGCGAAAUUUACUGGCCAGAUUGGGUUCAUGACCAAGUCUCUAAUGAGAAGGCUAUAGAAAUUGGAGAUGGUAGCACGGAAGAAGAACAAAAGAUAGUCAAGAAGAUGGUUAUUGCAGGGUUGCGGUGUAUACAAAUGAACCCUCUGAAUCGGCCCGCAAUGAACGAAGUUGUGGAGAUGCUUGAAGGAGACAUGGAAAGCCUGCAACUGCCUCCGAGACCAGUUCUAAAUCUAGAUGAGAAGCCAAUGAACACUUGUGGAGAGUCAUCUUCCAUGUCUGAUUAUUCUUCGGAAUCAGUCAGCUUGAUUGAAAAUGUAUAUAAUUAAGUGAUCUGCUAUGAAAUACUCUGCUCAUAUGCAGCAAUGAUACUAGUUCUUUGAUAGUUAUUACCAAUAUGAUAAACUGUAAUCAUCCACCUUAUUUCCUGGUUGUGUAACUAGCUAAGAGAGUCCUCGUUGGUAUUUUAUAAUCUUUAGAAAUAUUAUUUUAUUCAAAAUUAAUAAAAUCAAAUGAUAUACAUAUACAUACUAAGCAUAUUAUUAUAAAAUAGUGGAGUCCAUGUUAGAUAUCAGAUAACACCCGAAAAUGACUAGAUAAAAUCCAAAGGUGAUCAAAUGAAACCCAAAAGUGAUUACUGUAGGAGGAUAAGUCGCUACAUGUUGAUGUCUCUCUUAUCACCUAGAAAUCUUAUUGAUGAUCGUUAGGAAAACAUACAAUGAAUGUACAAAUACUUGAAACUUUAAAUAUCUUAAAAGUAUGUUUUCAAGUGUUAAAAAUUGUUUUUUAUUAAAAAAUAUAUUAAAAUAAUAUUUUUUUUUAUUUUAAAAAAAUUAUUUUUAAUAUUAAUAUUUCAAAACAAUUCAAAACCAUAAUAUUUCAAAAACAACAUAUCUCAGAAGCGUGGCACCACAACCCCGGACACAAGUACUAAAGUAGCACUACUAAAAAAGGGGGCUAUUAGCAUCGGAAUUUAGCAACGGAUAAUUCCGUUGCUAAAUUCAGUAACAGAUUUGCAACGGAUUAAACAUUUAUUAUUUUUUUAAUAUCAGCAACGGAUAUUUGCAACGGAAAAUCCAUUGCAAACUUUACAUUGAAUUUAGCAACGGAAAAUCCGUUGCUAAUUAAAAAAAUAAUUAUUUAAAUUUUAAUAUAAACCCAUUGCCUCGUUUCAUGUGUUGUUUUCUUUGUUAUUUACUCCACCUUUGUUGAGCAGCUCUAUCAUUCGAGAGAGAGAGAGAAAGAGAGAGAGAGAGAGAAAGAGAGAGCAUCAAGCUAUUUUACCAUAACAGGAAGGAGGGUAGGUCUGUAGAAGAUGUAUGGAGAUGGAAAGGAGGCAUCUUAGCAUCUGGGUUUGCUGAUCAGAGAAGGUAAGAAUAAUUAACAAGGAGAAGGGUUCGCUCUCAUUUUCUGUGCUCUCUUUGUCCUUGUUACUUCCCAUCCCAUAAUUUAUUUCCUUUCAAGCUGCUCCUUCCUUUUCCUUUUCAGAUGAGGAAUGGAUGAGAUGCACAAAAUUGCAAAAACCUAUGUACGUUAUGUUGGAUUUCAAAGCUGCUCCUUCCUUUUCCUUUUCAAAGCUGCUCCUGUCACAAGAACAAAACCAACCUUGCCUCUCCUGUCAACAUCCUCUCGAUCUUUCUUCUGUUAUGUUGGAUCUAUGUACGUUGUUUUUCUUCAUCUACUGGAGCAGUGGCUAGCAGCCACUCUAUUCUGGGGUGGAGCUUCAACAGAGGUGGACAAGCUCAAAGUCUUGACGUGUCACAGGUCACCAGCAGAUGGGGUUUGAGAUUUUGGAGCUCGAAGAAAUAAUUUUGAAAAAUGUUGCAGAUAGUAGAAAUUUUGAAAAAUAAUUUUGUACUACCUGCACAAAUACAUUGAUCGAUCUUUCUUGAGUCUUCAGUUUUUGGCGAAUAAACUAAGUCAGCGUUGAGUUAUUGCUGUACAGCUACUACUGGCAUUCCUAGCCUGUGCUGAGCAUGUCAUCAUUGCUGAUUUGCUGUCAUCCAGUAAUCCAGCUCUUUUAUCCGGACAAUCCACACAAAACUAAAUCCGUUGCUAAAAUGAGCAACGGAGAAUCCGUUGCUAGUUUUGCAACGGAAAAUCCGUUGCUCAUUGUAAACAACGGAUUUUCCGUUGCUGUGAAAUUAGCAACGGAUAAAUCCGUUGCUAAACAAUCAGCAACUACAGAUUUGCAUCUGAUUUUUACCGUUGCUGAAUCCGUUGCUAAUUUAUUUUAGCAACGGAUUUUAAUAUUAUUUGCAACGGAAUAGUCCGUUGCUAAUUACUAUAUUUUUUAGUAGUGUAGCAUCAUCAUAAAGUUUGAGAAAUACAAUUUAAAAACUAAUCUUGCAAGCAAAUACAGUUUCAUCCCCAUAUUUUCAAUCAAAUGCAUGCUAAUAUUUUGUUUGUGUAAUAAGCCGCGAAUUACUCGGAAUCCACUGUAGGCAGCAGCUCAUAGAUCACAGCCUUGAAAGCAAUGAUGACCUCAAAAUAUAUAUUUACUCUGUUUCUGAGAUGGCUGCCAGCUCUUGAUGAAGUUGCCUCCUUAGCAUACCUGUAUUCGUUCUCUUCGGAGCUGUGGAGCUAAGAGGAUUAGGAGGCGUACUUAACCUGUCUCCUUCACCUUCCAGCAUCUGGACAACAAUUUUCAUGGAAGGACGGUCCACUGGGUUCCACUGGAUGCACCACAGUCCCACAAUGGCUAGCUUCUUCGCAAUUUUAGCAUCCCCUUCUUCCUCGAUUUGGAACCGCAGGUCUUCUCCUUCUUCUAAGAGAUUAUAAAUCCAUUCUGGGAAGUAUACUUGAUCACCAUUUUCUGCUGUAUCAUCAACAUUUUUCCUUCCACCAACCAUUUCUAACACCAACAUUCCAAAACUGUACACGUCUGCCUUGUAGGAGACAUUCCCAAAGUUUCUUGAGAACACUUCAGGUGCUAUGUAGCCGACGGUUCCCCUAACUCUUGUCAUGGAAACAACACUUUUAUACUUGGAACACAACUUAGCCAGACCGAAAUCUGCAAUCUUGGGAUUGAAGUCAUUGUCCAGCAGGAUAUUAUGCGGUUUGAUAUCAAAGUGGAGGAUUGUUUGGUCACAACCCUGGUGAAGAUAUUCAAUCCCUUUGGCUACUCCGAGGGCAAUAUGAUGCAGCCUUUCCCAGCCAAGGAAAACAUUCCUUGCGUUUGCUGAAGAUAUGAACUUCUGCAGCGAAUCGUUUGGCAAGUACUCGUAAACCAGAGCUCGUCUGAAUCCAUCAGCACAGAAGCCAAUCAAGCGGACUACAUUGACAUGGUGAAUCCUAGCCAUUGUUCCCAUCUCGUUGACGAAUUCCUCUCCUUUUUCUGAUGAAUUGCUUAGAACCUUAACAGCCACCGGAAUCUCACUGGUUAGCUUUCCUUUGAACACAGUUCCAUAAGCUCCUUGCCCCAAUUCAUCCCUGAAUUGAUUUGUCAUCUUUUUGAGAUCAGCAUGGGAGUAUCUUGUGGGGUUCAUAGCUCUGUAAUCAUCCAAAACUCUUUCAACCUUGCCCUGAUAUUCUUUUUCUGAUUUUCUGAAGCUAUAGAUUUGGUAGACUGCAAUCACCAAAACCCCGAAAAGGAUGGAUCCUGUGGUUACACCUGCAUAUAUAAACAAGCCUUUUGAGUCAAGAGACAUGUUCUUUUUUGGAAGCAAUGUGUUGGAGCAAAUUUGAGAACUAACCUAAGUCAGUCGCUUUUUCCAUGCACCUGUAGAAGAUAAGAACCCUUGUUAAGUUCUAAUUUUCUGAAAGUUUCUAAAGUCAUGAUAAUAUCCUCUAUUUGUUGAAUCAAGAACGCUAAAUGCACAGGUAACCCCACUUGUCAGUCAGCUCACUAGUAGAUAGGACUUAUCUGUUCAAGGACACUUGCAAUACAUUAAUCAAAGUAGAGAUGUAGACAUAGUGAAGAAAGGAAUCAUAGAGAAUAAAGAUGCCAUGAACACAGAACAAUGAAAAGAAGACUUAAAGCUAAAGAUACCUUUGUUUUGUCUGUGCAUGCCAUAGCAUUCAGUUUCAAGCCCAGUGCUGCUAUUUCCCCUCAAUCCACAUAGUUUUCCUGUUGCUUCACAAGAUCCACAAUUGGGAUUGGACCAGGAGAGACGAAUAUCUUGUGGAACAGGUAGGUCGUACAUCUUGGUACAAGAUAAUAAUAACUCGCUGUCAUCAAUAGAUUGUUCUGAAUCAACGGCAAGAACGUCAUAGUGGAGAGUACUUAUUAGACAAGCGAUCCUAGACAGAUCUCUUGCUUUAUUUAAAGAACAAUUGAAGGUGGUAAAAUUGACCUUGGACAUCUUAAACUGUAUGUGAAACACAGACGAAUUGAAGUUGGAGUGUUGGCUUAGAAGGCAAACUUGGGGAUCUCUUGCAUAAAUAACUUGAUUUUUGUAGUCAAUCUUUUCUAUGUGGAGCUUCACUGCAGCUGGCAGCUCGAGCACUAUAUCGCCCAUCUCAUUACAAGACAGAUCAAAACCAGAAUAGCCACACUGUUCUGGCUGCCUAUCCUUGAUCCAGAAUGGAAAUCGGAUGUCGAGGCCCUGGUUCCCACAAGAUCCUGUGCAAUUUAGACUCACUCCAAGUUCUGCAAUGAACAUGAAAUAGAACAAGCAAAUAGCCUUUUUUGUUGAACCUCUCAUCAUUGCCUCCUAUGGUGAUAGAGUUUCGACCUAACAGUAUCUAGAUAUUGCAGAAACAAUAGUAAACUCAGAUGGGAACAGCAAUGGUAACUCUGAUACCUUCUUUUUAUGACAGCUGAAGGGUAAUUCUGAUACCUUCGUUUUACUUGCCUAGAUUAAGUACUCAGAAUUGACCUCUCUUGCGUUCAAUGUAGUUCCGUGUCAACAAUGAUUAUUGCACCCUCACUUUCUUUCCACUUUCGAAGGGAAAGAGGAGGGAAGCAGAGCUUGGACUUACCUGGUACACUUGGGUUGUUGAUCUUUGGCUUUUUUCACAAAUUAUUGCCAAGAAGGUUAUCAUGUUCUCUAUUAUAUGUUGACGCUUGUGGUGUUUAGAGUUGAUGGAUUUGUGGUUUAUAUCAAAGUAAUUCUUGACAUUUCAAAAGAUGAUUCGGUGAAUUUAAUAUGCUCUCUUGCAUUGAAAAACUAGCUUUAAGUGUGGUGAGAUAUUUAGAUAUGAUUUAUAUUAUUUUUUAAUAUAUAUAUAUUCAAUUAAAAGUUUUUUGUAUUUAAAACUUCUACAGACUCCCACUACCUUAUAUUUAAUUUUUAUCAAAUAAAUAAAAAUAAUGAAAUUUGAAUUAUUGCUACGAAGGUUAUCAUAUUGUCUAUAUGUUAAUGCUUGUGGUGUUGAGAGUUGAUGGAUUUGUGGUUUAUAUCAAACUAAUCUUUGACAUUUAAAAGGAUGACUUGGUAAUUUUAAUAUGCUGAUGGCACUUCACAAAACUUGUCUUUAGGUUUCUAUUUUGAGUAUGUUUGGCAGUAUGAUAACGAUUGCUUUUCAAAUAAUUUUUUGUAUCGAAAUGCAUUUUAAUGAUUUUUUUUUUAAAAAUUAUUUUUGAUAUCAGCACAUCAAAAUGAUACAAAACAUAUAAAUUAUAUUAAAUUUUAACAAAAAAAAACUUUUUUUGGAAACGCGGUGCAAUUCUUUUCACUGACUGGAAGAAUUGUUUGUGCACAACACCCUUUCUCCACCGAUGGCUAGGCACCUCUUUGCUUGCUACCUUGCCUUACUGCUCCCUCUGCUAGCCCCCCAAACCUGCAACUGCGAGGAUACCACUCUCUGUGCCCCUUCUUCAUGUGGCAACCAGACUAUUAGCUACCCCUUUAGCCUAAACAGUAGUGAUCCAUUAAACUGUGGAAACGCUCUCUAUACCCUCCACUGCGAGAAAAACACCUCCACUGCAUUGUGUUUAGACUCACGAAAACACUACGUCCAGGCAAUCAACUACAGCAACUUGACAAUCCGAGUGGUGGACGGUGGUGUUAAAUUAAAUGAUUGCUCUUCUCUUCCUAGUUUUACUUCGACAUAUGCAAACCUGGAUAAUUCCAUGAAUCCAUAUACAUCGUUUCAAUACAAAAAGACAGGGCCGAAAUGGGAUGCCCGUUUCGAGCGUCACUCAUUAUCGCAGAAGAUUAUUUUUAUAAACUGUGCAAAUCCAGUGAAUUCUCCUCUGUACGUAGACACUGGUACUGGCCUUAAUGGAGCGAAAUCUUCCAAUGCUUCCCUCUCAACGCAUUCAUAUGUGAAUAUUGGUGGCAUGAAGGCCUCGGAUUUGAUGGAACUGUGCAGCUUAGAGAGGAUGACGUUGUUGCCACCCAAGGAUUACAAGAACAUGUCCUAUAAGGAAAUUCACAGUCAGCUCGCAUAUGGGUUUGAGCUUUCAUGGCACAAUAGCAUGUGUGGAAGCUGUGCAUAUGGAUGCUACAUCGAUGAUUCGUACAAUACACACUGCAUAGGUGGGCAAAAUUGAGUAUAAACUGUUCGUUUUUCUAUCUUCAACUUCUCUUCGCAUGAUUUCCCCAUUUCUCAAGCAUGUUGUAGUGCUGGAUUUGUGGUUUAUAUUAAAGUAAUCUUUGACAUUUCAAAGGAUGACUUGUUAAGUUUAAUAUGCUGAACAAACUCUCGCAUUGAAAAACUAGCUUUAAGGUGUGAUGAGAUAUCUAAAUAUAAUUUAUAUUAUUUUUUAAUAUAUAUAUUAAAUUAAAAGUUUUUUGGACUUAAAAUUUGUACAAACACGCAUUACUUUGUGUUUAAUUUUUAUCAAAUAAAUAAGGAUGACGAGAUUCCAAUUAUUGCUAAGAAGUUUAUCAUAUUGUCUAGAUGUUGACGCUUGUGGUGUUGAGAGUUGAUGGAUUUGUAGUUUAUAUCAAAGUAAUCUUUGACAUUUCAAAGGAUGACUUGUUAAGUUUAAUAUGAUGAAGAAACUCUUACAUUGAAAAACUAGCUUUAAGGUGUGAUGAGAUAUCUAAAAAUAAUUUAUAUUAUUUUUUAAUAUAUAUAUAUAUAUAUAUGUUAAAUUAAAAGUUUUUUGGACUUAAAACUUGUACAGACUUGCACUACCAUGUGCUUAAUUUUUAUCACAUAAAUAAGGAUGACGAGAUUACAAUUAUUGCUAAGAAGUUUAUCAUAUUGCCUAGAUGUUGACGCUUGUGGUGUUGAGAGUUGAUGGAUUUGUGGUGUAUAUCAAACUAAUCUUUGACAUUUCAAAGGAUGACUUGGUAACUUUAAUAUGCUGAAGAAAAGCUCGCAUUGAAAAACUAGUUUUAAGGUGUGAUGAUAUAUCUAAAUAUAAUUUUUUUUUAUUAUAUAUGUUAAAUUAAAAGUCUUUUGGAUUUAAGACUUGUACAGACGCGCACUACAUUGUGCUUUAUUUUUAUCAAAUAAAUAAGGAUGGUGAGAUUUGAAUUAUUGCUAAGAAGUUUGUCAUAUUGUCUAGAUGUUGACGCUUGUGGUGUUUAGAGUUGAUGGAUUUGUGGUUUAUAUCAAAGUAAUCUUUGACAUUUCAAAGGAUGACUUGUUAAGUUUAAUAUGCUAAAGAAAGCUUGCAUUGAAAAACUAGUUUUAAGGUGUGAUGAGAUAUCUAAAUGUAAUUUAUAUUAUUUUUUAAUAUAUAUGUUAAAUUAAAAGUCUUUUCAACUUAAAACUUGUACAGACUCGUACUACCUUGUGUUUAAUUUUUAUUAAAUAAAUAAGGAUGGUGAGAUUUAAAUUAUUGCUAAGAAGUUUAUCAUAUUGUCUAGAUGUUGAUGCUUGUGGUGUUGAGAAUUGAUGAAUUUGUGGUUUAUAUCAAAGUAUUCUUUGGUUAAUUAUUGUCACUUUGACAUUUCAAAGGAUGAGUUAGUCAUUUUAAUAUGCUGAUGAAACAUUCACAUUGAAAAACUGACCUUUAGGUUUUAUCUUCUUCCAUGUUUCUCUUACUAUGGUAAAAGAAACAGUCUAAUUUAAAAGGUUAAACUGUUAUAUAUAUUUAUUAUAUAAUUUAUAUUAUUUUUAAAAAUAAAUGUGAAAGCUUUUUCAGCUUAAAAUUUAAACAGAUUUAAACUACCUCGCGCUUAAUUUUUAUUAAAUAAAUAGGAAUAACAAGAUUCAUAUUUAUAACCCCUUGAUCAUCAAGAAUUUAAUACCAUAUCAAAAACUCAACUCAACUGCAAAAUUUAAACUGGUAGGGUAAAUUUUAAAAUAUAAUUUAUAUUAUUAUUUAAUAUUAGUGCUCUAACUGUUGUCUUUAAAGACUUGAUAUCGUUUAUGGACUACACCCUCUUUCUCCACCCAUGGCUAGGCUCCUCUUUGCUGGCUCCAUAGCCUUACUCCUCCUGCUGCUAGUCUUCCAAAACAGUAACUGCGAGGAUAACAAUCCCUGUGCCCCUUCUUCAUGUGGCAACCUUACUAUUAGGUACCCCUUUAGCCUAGAAAGUGAUCCAUCUUACUGUGGAAAUCAUUAUAUUGGCUACCGCUUUAACUAUACCCUCCGUUGCGAGAAAAAUAUCUCUACAGUUUUGUAUUUAGACUCACGAAAAUACUACGUGCAGGCAAUCAACUACAACAACUUGACAAUCCGAGUGGUGGAUCCUGGUGUUAAAGAAAAUGAUUGCUCUUCGCUUCCUGAUUUUUCUUUAGCAUUUGAUAGCCUAGGUAAUUCCAUAAGGGCAUAUAAUUUGUUUACUUUAGCAUUUACAGCCUUAGAUUAUAUCGCAGUUGAUGAUUAUCCAUACACAUGGUUUCAAUACAAAAAGACAGGGUGGGAGUGGUUUCCCAAAUACAAGACUCUCCCGUUAUCGCAGAUGAUGAUUUUUAUAAACUGCGCAAAUCCAGUGGAUUCUCCUCUGUACAUAGACACUGGUACUUGCCUUAAUGGAGAAAAAUCUUCCAAUGCUUCACUCUUGAUGCGUUCUUAUGUGAAUGCUGGUGGGAUGAAGGCUUCGGAUCUGAUGGAACUGUGCAGCUUAGAGAGGAUGACGUUGUUGCCAGACAAGGAUUACAAGAACAUGUCCUUUAAGGAAAUUCACAGUCAGCUCGCAUAUGGGUUUGAGCUUUCAUGGCACAAUAGCAUGUGUAGAAGCUGUGCACAUGGAUGCUACAUCGAUGAUUCGUACAAUACACUCUGCAUAGGUGGGCAAAAUUGAGUAACAAACUGUUCGUUUUUCUAUCUUCAACUUCUCUUCGCAUGAUUUCCCCAUUUCUGAAGCAUGUUGUAGUGCUGAGUAUCGUACGGUCAGUUCAAUCAAGCUAUCAUAGGCUGCAGAUGGUCGUAUCAUUUGUCAUAAUAAUUCGUGGUUUUCUUUUAUUAGACGAUAAAUGAUAUUUUAUACCAAUGUUCAGAAAACUUAGUCAAACAAAACUAAGUUUCACUUCUUUAAUACAUUCAGAAAAAUUUAAUAACAACUUCUCGAUAUUAACCUCAAGAUUUGAAUUCAAAAGGUAAAACCAGGAUAAUUUUGCUAAGUCAUUCAUUUGUUUCUUCCCAAUUUCUUUCAUCUUGUAAUAACCUCCGUUAUAUAUUUUCUCAAAUCACAAAUCUAAUCUUUGUAACUGAUCUCUUGGUACAGACAGAGUUUCUUGGUUCAUGAUAACCUCAGGUGAGGAUUAUAUCUCCCCACUUCUUCAUGCUUAAUUCUUACUAUAAUAUCUCUAAAUUUGUUUACCUUCUCUGCAGCCGUGCUGCUAUAUGCAUCCAUCUUCAUUGGUAAGAACUCCCCUUAUUAAUUAUUAAUUUUUUUUUUUUUUGAAGUUACGAUAGUGGAUCAUAUUUUAUUAGCAGAUACAAAAUGAUAAUUCCUAAAUGUCUUCUUAUGCCAAGUUCUUGGGGUGGGGGGUUGCCUAAUUUUGAGACAUACCUUUUGGUUAAGAGUAUGCUUUUCUACAAAUCAUGAUGGUCUAGAUUUUAUAUGAUUUUUCAACUAGGCGAAAAAAUUCUAACACCAAACCUAACCAUGUUGUGUAUUUAUCUUAUAAUUAAUAAGAAAUAAUGAUUUCCGUCUUGAUUUCCCCCCAAAUUUCACACACAGCUACUUCAGGGGGCAAAAUUUAUCUUUGGGAGUCUGUUUGUGAUUGCAUUCUUGAUCUAUAUAUGGCGACGAAGACAUCUAUCAGCAUAUGAUACAGUUGAGGAAUUCCUACAGACUCAUAACAAUCUUAUGCCAGUCGUGAGGUAUUCUUAUUCAGAGAUUAAGAAGAUGACCGGAGGUUUCAAGGAAAAGUUGGGGGAAGGAGGUUUUGGUUGCGUGUACAAGGGAAAGCUUCACAGUGGACAUUCUGCAGCGAUAAAAUUGCUGGGCAAAUCCAAGGCUAAUGGACAAGAUUUCAUCAAUGAAGUCGCUACCAUUGGAAGGAUUCGCCACACCAAUGUAGUGCAACUGGUUGGUUUUUGUGCUGAGGGAUCAAAGCGCGCUCUUGUAUAUGAUUUCAUGCCCAAUGGAUCUCUCAAUAAUUUUAUUUUUUCUCAAGAAAGAUCUGUCUCCUUAAGCUGGGAAAAACUGCAUGAGAUUUCCCUUGGAGUGGCUCAUGGCAUCCAAUAUCUACAUCGAGGUUGUGAGAUGCAGAUCCUACAUUUUGACAUCAAGCCUCACAACAUUCUUCUCGAUGAACAUUUCACUCCAAAAGUUGCUGAUUUUGGACUUGCUAGGUUGUGUCCAACAAAUGAGAGUCUUAAAUCUCUCACUGCAGCAAGGGGAACGAUAGGAUACAUGGCGCCAGAACUGUUCUACAAGAACAUCGGGCGUGUCUCAUACAAAGCUGAUGUUUAUAGCUUUGGAAUGUUGCUGUUGGAAAUGGCAGGCAGAAGGAAGAAUCUGAACGCAUUGGCAGAGAAUUCAAGCCAGAUUUACUGGCCAUAUUGGGUUCAUGACCAAGUCUCUAAUGAGAAGGCUAUAGAAAUUGGAGAUGGUAGCACGGAAGAGGAAAAAAAGAUAGUCAAGAAGAUGAUUAUUGUAGGGUUGUGGUGUAUACAAAUGAACCCUGUAAAUCGGCCUGCAAUGAACGAAGUUGUGGAGAUGCUUGAAGGAGACAUGGAAAGCCUGCAACUGCCUCCGAAACCUGUUCUAAAUCUAGAUGAGAAGCCAAUGAACACUUGUGGAGAGUCAUCUUCCAUGUCUGAUUAUUCUUCGGAAUCAGUCAGCAUGGUUGAAAAUGCAUCUAAUUAAGUGAUCUGCUAUGAAAUACUUUGCUCAUGUGCAGGGGAAGGCUUGUCCCGUGAAUGAUACUAGUUCUUUGAAAGUUAAUUCCAUUAUGAUGAACUGUAUUGAGGCACCUUAUUUCCUGGUUGUGUAACUAGAAUCAUCAAAAUGCAUAUCAUAUUGAAUAGAAUUUAGUUCAAUAGAAUGCGAGUACAAAUUCAAGAAUAAAUAAAUACUCGGAAAAUAAAGCAACAUAUAUAAAUAUCCAAGAGAUUAACUAGUUGUACUCAUCAUAUAAUCAACAUAUAUUUUUAUUUAUAUUAUAUGCAUAUUAAAGAUUAUCUCACUCAACUGGAAAAUAUAGAAAUAAAAUGAAUAUUAGAUAAAAGACCAGAAAAUCUUAUUGAGGAUCGUUAGGAAAACAUACAAUAAAUAUACAAAAUAUCUACUAAAAAACAACCUAAAACAAUCCAAAUAAAAGAUUCCAAUGCAUAAAAUAAAACCAUGUUUAUCCUCCUGAGUUUAGGGACUAAAACAAUAAUUUUUCCAAAAUAGGAGCCAAAAUAUUUGCUGCCCCUUUAGCCUAAACAGUAGUGAUCCAUUAAACUGUGGAAACCCUCUCUAUACCCUCCAUUGCGAGAAAAAUACCUCCACAGUUUUGUAUUUAGACUCACGAGAAUACUACGUGCAGGCAAUCAACUACAACAACUUGACAAUCCGAGUGGUUGAUGCUGGUGUUACACAAAAUGAUUGCUCUUCUCUUCCUCAUUUUUCUUUAACAUAUGCAAGAUUAGGUAAUUCCAGAAGUGCAUAUAAUAUUUCUACUUCAACAAAUACAGGCUUAGAUUAUAUCAGAUUUCCAUAUACAUGGUUUCAAUACAAAGAGACAAGGCGGAAAUGGAUUCCCGAAUACAAGCCUCUCCCGUUAUCGCAGAUGAUGAUUUUUAUAAACUGUGCAAAUCCAGUGAAUUCUCCUCUGUACGUAGAAUCCGGUACUUGCCUUAAUGGAGAAAAAUCUUCCAAUGUUUCACUCUUGAGGCGUUCUUAUGUGAAUAUUGGUGGCAUGAAGGCCUCGGAUCUAAUGGAACUGUGCAGCUUAGAGAGGAUGACGUUGUUGCCAGCCAAGGAUUACAAGAACAUGUCCU